UACGAAGGGGGCUAGCGUUGUUCGGAAUUACUGGGCGUAAAGCGCACGUAGGCGGACAUUUAAGUCAGGGGUGAAAUCCCGGGGCUCAACCCCGGAACUGCCUUUGAUACUGGGUGUCUUGAGUCCGGAAGAGGUGAGUGGAAUUGCGAGUGUAGAGGUGAAAAUUCGUAGAUAUUCGCAGGAACACCAGUGGCGAAGGCGGCUCACUGGUCCGGUACUGACGCUGAGGAGCGAAAGCGUGGGGAGCGAACAGG
rnacentral:rRNA from 1 species